rnacentral:rRNA from 1 species
GACGAACGCUGGCGGCGUGCUUAACACAUGCAAGUCGAACGGAAAGGCCCUGCUUUUGUGGGGUGCUCGAGUGGCGAACGGGUGAGUAACACGUGAGUAACCUGCCCUUGACUUUGGGAUAACUUCAGGAAACUGGGGCUAAUACCGGAUAUGAUCUCCUGCUGCAUGGUGGGGGUUGGAAAGUUUCGGCGGUUGGGGAUGGACUCGCGGCUUAUCAGCUUGUUGGUGUGGUAGUGGCUUACCAAGGCUUUGACGGGUAGCCGGCCUGAGAGGGUGACCGGCGACAUUGGGACUGAGAUACGGCCCAGACGGCUACGGGAGGCAGCAGUGGGGAAUAUUGCACAAUGGGGGGAAGCCUGAUGCAGCAACGCCGCGUGCGGGAUGACGGCCUUCGGGUUGUAAACAGCUUUCGCCUGUGACGAAGAGUGAGUGACGGUAAUGGGUAAAGAAGCAACGGCUAACUACGUG